UAGGGAAUCUUCCGCAAUGGACGCAAGUCUGACGGAGCAACGCCGCGUGAGUGAAGAAGGAUUUCGGUUUGUAAAACUCUGUUGUUAGAGAAGAACAGCGCAUAGAGUAACUGUUAUGCGUGUGACGGUAUCUAACCAGAAAGCCACGGCUAACUACGUGCCAGCAGCCGCGGUAAUACGUAGGUGGCAAGCGUUGUCCGGAUUUAUUGGGCGUAAAGCGAGCGCAGGCGGUCAAUUAAGUCUGGUGUGAAAGCCCCCGGCUCAACCGGGGAGGGUCAUUGGAAACUGGUUGACUUGAGUGCAGAAGAGGAGAGUGGAAUUCCAUGUGUAGCGGUGAAAUGCGUAGAUAUAUGGGGGAACACCAGUGGCGAAGGCGACUCUCUGGUCUGUAACUGACGCUGAGGCUCGAAAGCGUGGGUAGCAAACAGG
rnacentral:rRNA from 1 species